rnacentral:lncRNA from 1 species
CGUGAUUGUAGCUGCGCGUACAUUUGUUUUUAAACCUUUUUAUUGAUUGGUGUAUUGUUCUAAAUUUAUUAUGUUUGCUAUGCAUGUUUGUUUGGAUGCUUGUGUGGUAUGAUCCUGUCUAGUCGGCGAGUUUUAUGUGGUGAUCAAGAAGGACCGAAGUUGGUAAUAAUGAGCAAGAAAUUAAUUUCAGAUUUGGAGUAGCAGAUUCAGCAAGGACAGCAGGAAAGCUUUUAUCAAGGCAAGC